rnacentral:sRNA from 1 species
UCACAAAACAAAACACAAACUGUGUGUUGUCUCUCUUCUUUGGUCUUCUCUUCUUCUUCUUCUUCUUUUUCUUUU